AGAUAGAGUUUUUAAUACCCCAUUAUGUGAACAAGGAAUUGUUGGAUUUGGAAUUGGAAUUGCAGUCACUGGUGCUACUGCCAUUGCAGAAAUUCAGUUUGCAGAUUAUAUUUUCCCUGCUUUUGAUCAGAUUGUUAAUGAGGCUGCCAAGUAUCGCUAUCGCUCUGGGGAUCUUUUUAACUGUGGAAGCCUCACUAUCCGGUCCCCUUGGGGCUGUGUUGGCCAUGGGGCUCUCUAUCAUUCUCAGAGUCCCGAAGCUUUUUUUGCCCAUUGCCCAGGAAUCAAGGUGGUUGUACCCAGAAGCCCUUUCCAGGCCAAAGGACUUCUUUUGUCAUGCAUAGAGGAUAAAAAUCCUUGUAUAUUUUUUGAACCUAAAAUACUUUACAGGGCAGCAGUGGAACAGGUUCCUAUAGAGCCAUACAACAUUCCACUGUCCCAGGCUGAAGUCAUACAGGAAGGGAGUGAUGUGACCCUUGUUGCCUGGGGCACUCAGGUCAG